CCCCACGCUGACGCGUGGGGCUACAUGCUAUCGCGGCUCCGCCGCU
rnacentral:sRNA from 1 species